rnacentral:lncRNA from 1 species
UCCCUUCCAUGCCAAAAUGGAUGCACAAUUCCUUACGUGCAUACUUGAGAAUUGUUGCGAUCGUUUACUAGAUAUGUUGCAUUUCCAGCCUUGCGUACCAUCCCCCAUGAAUGUCUCCAGAUGCCUCAUUAUCAUUGCCCCUUCCAAUGCUUACCUUAUACCAUAACAUUUAUGUAGAUGCUAUGAAAACCUUAAUGAAUAAAUAAUUAAAUUUAACGAGUUCCAUUUCAAUAUGCACUUAAUUAGUUUAUAAGAUAGUUUCUGAAUAACAUAUCAAAC